GACGAACGCUGGCGGCGUGCUUAACACAUGCAAGUCGAACGGAAAGGCCCUGCCUUUGUGGGGUGCUCGAGUGGCGAACGGGUGAGUAACACGUGAGUAACCUGCCCUUGACUUUGGGAUAACUUCAGGAAACUGGAGAUAAUACGUGAUAGGAGCUCCUGCGGCAGGGUGGGGGUUGGAAAGUUUCGGCGGGUGGGGUUGGACUCGCGGAUUAUCGGCUUGUUGGUGGGGUAGUGGCUUACCAAGGCUUUGACGGAUCGCCGGCCUGAGUGGGUGACCGGCCACAAGGGGACUGAGGUACGGACCAGACUGCGACGGGAGGCAGCAGUGGGGAAUAUUGCACAAUGGGCGGAAGCCUGGUGCAGCAACGCCGCGUGCGGGAUGACGGCCUUCGGGUUGUAAACCGCUUUCGCCUGUGACGAAGCGUGAGUGACGGUAAUGGGUAAAGAAGCACCGGCUAACUACGUG
rnacentral:rRNA from 1 species